UCUUGGAAGUAAAAAGAAAAAUCUACCGGAGUACUAUGAAUUAGAUAUUUAAAACUCAAAAGGCUUGGCGGUGCUUUAGACCUUUCAGGGGAACCUGUUUCAUAAUCGACAAUCCACGUUAAACCUCACCUUUUCUUGUAAGCAGUUUGUAUACCGUCGUCGUCAGGUAACUUUUAAAAAUUUAGCAGUUAGCAGAUUAAUUUUAAUAAAUUUAAACGUCAGAUCAAGGUGCAAUUAAUGAAAAGGUAGAAAUGGGUUACAAUUAUUUAUUAAUAAUACGGAAAAUUAGCUGAAAAGUUAUUUAGAAGGAGGACUUGAAAGUAAAAAUAUUUAUUUAUAUAUCUUGAAUAAGGCUCUGAAGCGUGC
rnacentral:rRNA from 1 species